CAGCCGCCGCGGUAAUACGUAGGGUGCGAGCGUUACUCGGAUUUACUGGGCGUAAAGCGUGCGCAGGCGGCCCGUUAAGACAGGUGUGAAAUCCCUGGGCUCAACCUAGGAAUUGCGCUUGUGACUGGCGGGCUCGAGUACGGUAGAGGGGGGUGGAAUUCCUGGUGUAGCAGUGAAAUGCGUAGAGAUCAGGAGGAACACCGAUGGCGAAGGCAGCCCCCUGGGCCUGUACUGACGCUCAUGCACGAAAGCGUGGGGAGCAAAAAGGAUUAGAUACCCUGGUAGUCCACGCCCUAAACGAUGGGUACUAGCCGGUUGGUGCGCGAGAGCGCUGAGUGGCGAAGCUAACGCGUGAAGUACCCCGCCUGGGGAGUACGGCCGCAAGGUUGAAACUUAAAGGAAUUGGCGGG
rnacentral:rRNA from 1 species